CAGCAGCCACGGUAAUACGGAGGGUGCAAGCGUUAAUCGGAAUUACUGGGCGUAAAGCGCACGCAGGCGGUCUGUCAAGUCAGAUGUGAAAUCCCCGGGCUUAACCUGGGAACUGCAUUUGAAACUGGCAGGCUAGAGUCUUGUAGAGGGGGGUAGAAUUCCAGGUGUAGCGGUGAAAUGCGUAGAGAUCUGGAGGAAUACCGGUGGCGAAGGCGGCCAUCUGGCCUAACACUGACGCUGAGGUACGAAAGCAUGGGGAGCAAACAGGAUUAGAUACCCCUGUAGUCCCUGUCUCUUAUAC
rnacentral:rRNA from 1 species